AGGAGUUUGAUCCUGGCUCAGAUUGAACGCUGGCGGCAUGCCUAACACAUGCAAGUCGAACGGUAACAGGCAAAAGCUUGCUUUUGCGCUGACGAGUGGCGAACGGGUGAGUAACGCGUAGGGAUCUGCCCUGAAGUGGGGGAUAACCCGGGGAAACCCGGACUAAUACCGCAUACGCUCUUCGGAGGAAAGAAUGGGACCUUCGGGCCAUUCACUUUAGGAUGAACCUGCGUCAGAUUAGCUUGUUGGUGGGGUAAAGGCCUACCAAGGCGAGGAUCUGUAGCUGGUCUGAGAGGACGAACAGCCACACUGGGACUGAGACACGGCCCAGACUCCUACGGGAGGCAGCAGUGGGGAAUAUUGGACAAUGGGCGAAAGCCUGAUCCAGCAAUGCCGCGUGUGUGAAGAAGGCCUGAGGGUUGUAAAGCACUUUCAGUGGGGAGGAAGGUUUUUUGUCGAAUAGGCAAAAGAUUUGACGUUACCCGCAGAAGAAGCACCGGCUAACUCUGUGCCAGCAGCCGCGGUAAUACAGAGGGUGCAAGCGUUAAUCGGAGUGACUGGGCGUAAAGGGCGUGUAGGUGGAUAGAUAAGUUAUGUGUGAAAUAUCCGGGCUUAACCUGGAGGGGUCAUGUGAUACUGUCUGUCUAGAGUAGAGUAGAGGGAAGUAGAAUUUCCGGUGUAGCGGUGAAAUGCGUAGAG
rnacentral:rRNA from 1 species